rnacentral:rRNA from 1 species
UCGGAUUGCAGGCUGCAACCCGCCUGUAUGAAGUUGGAAUCGCUAGUAAUCGCGGAUCAGCAUGCCGCGGUGAAUACGUUCCCGGGCCUUGUACACACCGCCCGUCACACCAUGAGAGUCGGGAACACCCGAAGUCCGUAGUCUAACUUUCACGAGAGGACGCGGCCGAAGGUGGGUUCGAUAAUUGGGGUGAAGUCGUAACAAGGUACC